rnacentral:lncRNA from 1 species
UCGGCCUCUCAAAAUGCUGGGAUUACAGGCGUGAGCCACCGCGCCUGGCGACAAGAUUAGUUCUUAAUGAUUUCAGUGCAAAAACUCAAAGCCUCACUCAACAUAAUUUUUAUAAUUGUAAAUAGAAAAAGAUGACCAAUAAGUAUAAUUUAUACUAUAUUAAGUCAUUAUACAUAUUAAUUCUUCUAAGGUUUAAUUUAAAAAUAAGCAGCUGAACUGAACUUACAGCAAAGAAAAUAAAAUAGCUUUCUUUUUAAGAAAUAUUAAUGAAUCUUAAAGUUAGGGUUGUGUAGCAUCAGUUAUGCUAGAAAGGGAAAACUGAGUUUGAGGCAUGUGAAGAAAAGUGAUUAAAUUGGUUAAAAAAAUAGUACUCAUAUCCUAUUGUCAACUGUAUCUAGUUCCAUACUGUAUGUAUUUUUAUAUCUCUGGUAAGUGCUUAUGGUGGUCCCAAAUAACUUGUGAGUUUCCAGACAUAGACAGUUCUCAGAGCAUGUGUAUUCAUAUAAAUUUUUAAAUGGCUAUUGCUGUAGUGCUCUACAGGUUAAAAAAAGUGAGGCGAAAUUGAAACAUUUAAAAAAUACUGUACUAUUUAAAAAUUUGUAUGAAUGUCUGUGUAGCAGCUGCCAUUUUCAGGCUGUCUUUGUUGCUAUGGUUUGGUUGAUUUUAUUUCCUUUUGUAAUUUUGCCAGCCAGUGAUUGGGUAGUACAUUGCAUUCAUGCUGUUGGGGAAGAUAUAUCUGUGGUGAGUCAGAUAGCUUGAUCUGAGUAGUAAUUUUUAGUAGGGAAAGGUAUUUGUCAGUGGGUAAUAGAAACUGUAGUGUUACAUUACCCAUCUUCAUUUAAUUUUCAAAUUUACAGACAUGUCACUUAAUAUCAGAAAUUCAGAACCAUCUCUUUUGCAGUGAUAUGUACUUGCCUCUCUCCUUUUGUCCUGUCAGAUGCACUUAGAAUUCUGUGUAGUUUAAUCUUAAAGGGAUUAGUUAUUUAAUUUUAAGCUCCUACAUAAAAUGAAUAUUGUACAUACAGGGUCCCAUCAUUGUCACUUUCAAAUAUUCCAUUGCCUUUCAAAGGAGCUGACAUGACAAGUCCUUAGGUUGACAAAUUCUCAUCAACUUUUAUGAAAAUGUUGGCUGCAGAAGGAGUAAAGUCAAAGGAGGGCCAUAGACAGAUGGCUUUCAGUGUUGAGAUGACAUCAAGCCCUUCUUCGUGGCAUUUUUUAACAUUCCAAAUGAAUGAGGGAUGGAGAUGCUUAAAGAGCUUACUAUAGAAUAAGUAAUUAAGAUAUUGUGUAUCUGCAUGUAAACCCCUGUUGCAUACUAUUAAACAGAGUUGUGCAGGCUCAGAUAUAAUAGCAGAUUAACAAUGACAAUUGUAAAUAUCUUUUAUGCUGAAUGUAACUCAUAAAUAAUAUUACACAUUAACAUGUUGCUGAUGGAAAACUGUGUACCUGAGAACAUAUUUUCAACAUUAGAUAAUUGAGAACUAACGAUAAGUGGGUUACCAGUGUUUGAAAUGAAGCAAAGAUUCUAGAUAAGAACUUGGCAAAAGCUUAUUUGCAUAAGAAAUUUUGCGUCUUUAUAUGACUAUGACAAGAUUUUUUUGGAUGGAUGCACACCAUAUAAAAAUUACUAAGUUACUAAAGUUUCUGAUGGAUUCAUUUAGUUGGCUUUCCUCCCCCUCUUCUUUUAAAUGGUAGAGGUUCUCUUUUGGAGAGUAGUUUCAAGUAACUUCUGAGAAUGAAGUCUUUGUAACGAUGCUGUUCAACAGCGUAACUAUUGUUGUGCAUUCCUGUCAGGGAAAGAUAGUCAUUGCAGUACUUUUAUUGUAUGGCCUCUUAAUAUGUGACAAGGACUUUUAUUAAGAAUUCUUUUCUUAACAUACUUUUAGAAGUCUCUCCUUUUCCCACAUUCAAUCAGUAACUACAGUUUUAAAAAAAUAUUUAAAUGAACUUUUAUUGAUUUCUUAGCUUACUGUAUAGACAAAAAUCUUACGUUUAAAAAAGGUUUUAAAAUUAAUGUAUUUUAGAGUUUCAGUAAAAUGAAGUGGGAACAAAAAUUAACAAAAAAGUGCCAUCUCAUUGGAUCCAGGAUAUGUAGUAAUACACACACACAGUUCUAUGUCUGUGUAACCAUAUAUAUAUAUGUAUACACAGUUCUUUGGAGAAUGAGGAUAUUUCAGUCCAAAAUGUUAUGGUUGAAGAACUAAUUGUUCUAAAGAUAUUUGCCCCUGGCCCCAGAAAAGACGACAAACAUGCAAAAUGGAUAAAUGUAAUCCUUUGUACUUUUACCACCUACAUUUUUAAACUACAGUAACUCUGAUUUCUCUAGAAAGGUCAGAGGUUUCAGACAGAAAGCUUUGUAAUUCUUCAAAGAAAGACAUUUUCAGUUUGGCUGUAUAAAGACUGAUUAUGCAUAGCUUUUUACUUUAUGUGCGGUUGAAUCUUGGAGGUGCUGGAGUGGGGUGGGGACGAUGAAUAAGUGAAGCUGUGUUUUGAGACAUUAGAAUUGGAGGGAAACAGACAGAUUGGAGAGGAACAUAGAUUCAUAUUUUUGGGCUUUUUACUAUCAAGUCACCCAGUCUAAAACUCAGGACAGAGCAGCAUUAACCAUUCAUUUUGCUUUGUGAUAGAGCAUUCGAUUACCAACUCUUUAAACUCUUUUGGCAAUUCAAGGAGGUUGCCUAUCUGGGUACCAUUUCUUAGGAUUUGCUUUGUUGGAUUUUCUAAAUUGUGGAUGUGAGUUUCUUUGGUUUUGCAUUUUUUAAAAAAAUUUUUUGGUCCUUUUUAACUUUUCCAAGUUUUGGAGAAUUUUUCAUGUUGGGCGGUGUUGGAGAAGUAGAGAUUGUAGAUGACCUUCGUUGUGGCUUACUCCUGUUAUUUGGGAAAUAGACGUUCAGAGAGCAUCUCACUUGAGGCCACACCAACAGUUAAGAGGCAAAGCCAGCAUUUAAGCCAACUCCCUUAGAUCCCAGACUUUUGCCCUAAAACUAUAUUAUUUAAAUUAUCUUUUCUUAUGUGUUUUUAAAUUAGCCCUUCAUAUAAACUUCAAAUUUUAGGUAGGGGAGCUUUUAUGGUUCCCUUUAUGCCAGUGAGGAAACAGCCAGAGAGGUUGAGUAACUUGUCCAGGGUUAUAUGGUUAAUAAGUGGUUAGGAUUAGUAACUAGGCCAGACCCUUCUAUGGCCUGUUUUUAUCUCUAAGAUGAUCCCCAGUAUGUUAGACUUGAAACUAUGGAUGGAGUGAAAAAUAUUCUCUGCAAAUACAUCAACACUCUGAAAGCCAUUGUUUUCUCUGUUUAGAAAGUAGUUGAAAAAGUAGUGAGAAACUAGAGCUUUUUCUUUUCUGGUGUUAGUUUCAGCUUCCUACCUUGAAGGGAACCUUAAGGCCCAAACCUUCUUUUUUACAUUUGAGGAUUCUAAGUCCAUGCAUCUCGGAAACUAUGGAGACGGGAACUUCUUGUGUGAGUUGGAGAGCAGUUGUAGACCGUUAUCAUUUCCAUCGGUGUAAAAAUGAAGAAAAAAUUAUAUCUCAUGUUGUGAAAGAGUCAGACUCUGAAAUCUGCUUAUACUUUGCUAUUUACAAAUCCUUCAUUUUUAGUAUACUUUUAAAAUUGAACACACACAACACUUUGGUUCCUAAAGUAAUGAUAACAAGAAAUUAAAAUCAAGAUGUAGACUUUUGGAGUGUGCCCAGAAAACCUCUACAGCUGAUACUUUGGUGACUUGUUCCUACUCCUGGCUUUACUGGCACCUAUUUAAAUAGCAGAGGAACAUAAUUGUGUUUUGGUAGGUCAAAAUUUUAUACACUUCUGUAGAAAAAAUUAUAUAUAGGUAAGCCAAUUGGUAGAAAUGAAGUAAACCCAAUUUGCUUGUUGAGAUUAGCACUGAAGAUAUGCUAAGCUUUGGUUAUGUCAUUUGGUCAAAAAAGAAUGAGGAAAAUCCCUCAGAAAAGUUAUCUGAGAGAUCAGCACUGAACGUCAAGCCAGCCUGUCCACUCCCAUUACUAAAAGAAAUCUCCCCUUUUAACUUCAUCCCAUAAAUGGAUCAUGCUUCCUGGAUCCACCCGAGGAGGACGUGGUUUAGUUUUAGAUUCUUAGAUUACAGACUUCCACCAUCAGUUUCAGUAUUCUUUUCACGAUAUUAAUGUUAUGAAAACUGUUAGAAAUGAGGAAAUACCGCCAUGUCAGGUUCACUCAUGGAUCAAGAAAUGAGCAUUUUCUUAAACAUCAGUCCAAAACAACAAACCUCAAGUACCAUAAGUUCAGAUAACUUGGGAGCAGUUGAAAUCCUUUAAGCCACAAAGAUAGUGUCUUUUGGCAUGGCUGGUGAAAGAAGGAAGCUGGUUGAAUUCAUUGACUAACUCUGUUGCUGGCUAAAAAGACAAUUAAGGAGAAAAGGGAUGGAAGAAGAAAAGAACCAAAGAAACUAAAAUCUGUUUCUUUUUCAGGAGGAGUUGGAAGAUGAGGAGUAACACAACACUUUAGAUAUACAUGUUAAAAACUUAUAACAAAUCAUAGAUCAUACUAAAGGAUUACCGAAGUUUAGAACAUGGCUGAGGGUAUAGAUGUCAGAUUUUCUUACACAAUAGUGGGUCUUUUGUUUCAGAGUUCACUCUUGGCAAGCAACUCCCUACCACUGCGUUAAUUUCCUGUCGAUCUUUCAUUCAGCAACAGACCUAGAGAUGGGGAGCAGACACUGCCCCCCCCACCCAGGCUUUUUAAGACUGUGCUUUGUGUAGAUUAAAAAGACGAAGGAAAAAAGAAUAAACUUUUUCCAAACAAGAUGUCCAUGUGCAUUCUUUAAGAUCCUGUGUGUGCUUAAAACGAUCCUGUAAAAAAGCCCUCUCCAUAAUUUUGAACCUCUCCUUUUUCUAAAGACUUUUAUAGGCAUUUUUUUUUCUUCUUCUCAGCAUGUGAACCAAUGUGUAACUCAAAUAGAUGUUACUUUGCUGUUUACUUAGAUUGUUUUAAAAGGCUAGCUGUGUGGAGGAAUGAGGAAGGAAGGGAGGCGGGAGUGGCUGGAGUUUUUUUUUUUC